rfam:Myotis davidii contig136663, whole genome shotgun sequence.
GGUGGUUCUCAGGUGAUGCACCCUCGAAUUGGACUCCUUCCUCUCUGGUUUAAGGUGCGUCACCCGAGAACCACC